GCCUCCCUCCGCUCUGCCGCCUUUGCCUGUUUGUCAAGCUCGUUUAACCCGCCAUUUUGUUGCAAUUUCGCCGUGUAAUCUUUAUAGCUGCAGUUAAUAGAAUUGUAUAGAGACAUUUUAGGUUUUUACCAACUAAAUAUUUGUAAAUACGUGUGCAGUUCAACAGUUUUGUUGAAAUGGACGGCCCACCAUUCCGUGGGAUGCGUGGUGGCCGCGGCGGGCCGCCAGGAAUGAAUGGCCGAGGGCGAGGCGGGUUCGAUAUGCGUGGACGUGGCGGACCAGGAAUGAGAAUGAGAGGUGGUCCACCUCGUGGUCCAAUGCGCGGAGGUCCACGGGGCUUUCGCGGUGGGCCCAUGCGUGGCGGCGGCGGCGACAGGGGCGGCCGCAGCUUUCCUCCCGGCCCACAGGGCCCAGGCCCACAUCCAGUCCCUACUAUUGAAACUAGAGGAGCACCUCCACAGAGAGGAGGGUUCAACAGAGGUGGUCCUGGCGGUAUGCGAGGGCGGGGUGGCAGAGGCCGUGGAGACUUUGUACCUCGUGGCGACAGAGGUGGCCGAGGAGGAAUGGGAAUGAGAGGUCGAGGUGGACGUGGUGGUCACGGACUACCUGGUGGUCCCCCAGGCGGCCUUCCAGGUCCGCAUCCCGGUUCAGCGCCUCACGCAGGCCCUGGGCCUCAUCCAGGAGCUGGUGGACCAGGGCCGGGUGGUCCCCCAAACAUGCCACCGAGGUCAGCGCCUGCGCCUCAUCAGGGUGGUGCGCCUCCACAACAAGCACCACCAUUCAAGCGAGGAGGCGGCCCGCCACUUGGAGGACCAGGAGGACCACCCAAGCGAGGAAGAUUCGAUGGUCCACGUGGUGGUGGACGCCCCCCGCAAACCGGUGGCUACCAGCAACCGCCACACAGUGCUCCUCCAGCUAAUGGUUAUGGACCACCAUCGCACACAGGAUAUCAGCCGUACGAGUCGCCGGCGGCGGCGGAUCCAUACGCACCCCCGGCAUAUAGCACCACUGGCUCGUAUCAAGGCAAUAACUAUUCGACGCCUGUGCCAGCGCAAUCGGGGUCGGGUUACAAUUCGGGUAGUUACGGAUCAGGCUAUGGCUACUCAACGGGCGGGCAGGGAGGUUAUGAGCAUGAGGGCUAUGGGGGCGUAGCGGGGGGCGCGGGUGACGCAGGCUACGGCGCGGCUGAACCCGCAUAUGGCAGCGGGGGGCCCGCACCUGCUUACGACUCUUACUCGCAACCUGCAUACAACUCCUAUCAGCCACAGCAACCUCAGUAUAGCAACAGUUAUGAAUAUGGAUGAAAUGAUAUUGUGAAGACAAUAUCCUGACAUUGAACUGGAUUCCACUGUAGGACAGCAACAUGCAUACAUGGGUUGACGAAAACAGCAGUAGCACGAAAACCUGCUGGUAGCCCUUGGAGGAAGAAAAAAUA